CACGAAUAUGCGCAUCUUUAACUGAAUACAUUGCUCUUUCAGAGCCAAAUCCCACCUUAGGAGGUUGACAUUGCCCCUUUGGAAAUCACUGGAUGCUGAGAGCCCAUCUCCACAGACGUCAUUCUGGCCUUUUGAUUCCAGUCAUGUCCUCCAACAGCAGAGGAAAGCAUUUAAGGAGGACGCCACGUAACCUGGUUUUCCAGACCGAGGAAAAUCAAACCCCGCAAGUGGGUGGGCGAGCUGACUUUUCCGUCUGCAAUCCUCGCUUUUGCUCAGAGGCCGUGUGCCCCCCUCCCUCUGCCCUCAGUCGUGUGCUCCAGUGAGAACCCGAGCUGCUGGCAACGUUGCACCAGAAAGCACAGAGCUGGAAUAGAAGAGAACUGGAUUUUGGUCCUAGUUGUCUUAUUGAUGGGCCAGCCCCAUGAGAUUGGGUAA
rnacentral:lncRNA from 12 species